rnacentral:rRNA from 1 species
GACGUAGGAGGCGAGCGUUGUCCGGAUUCAUUGGGCGUAAAGAGCACGCAGGCGGUUUGGCAAGUCGGAUGUGAAAACCCGAAGCUCAACUUCGGGCCUGCAUCCGAAACUGCCCGACUAGAGGUAGGUAGGGGAAAUCGGAAUUCCUGGUGUAGCGGUGAAAUGCGCAGAGUAUCAGGAGGAACACCGGUGGCGAAGGCGGAUCUCUGGGCCUUACCUGACGCUCAGGUGCGAAAGCUAGGGGAGCGAACAGG